CAGGGAUUGCCCUAGUAACGGCGAGUGAAGCGGCAAAAGCUCAAAUUUGAAAUCUGGCUCUCUAUGGGAGUCCGAGUUGUAAUUUGCAGAGGGCGCUUUGGCGUCGGCAGCGGUCUAAGUUCCUUGGAACAGGACGUCACAGAGGGUGAGAAUCCCGUACGUGGUCGCUUGCCUUCGCCGUGUAAAGCCCCUUCGACGAGUCGAGUUGUUUGGGAAUGCAGCUCUAAAUGGGAGGUAAAUUUCUCCUAAAGCUAAAUACUGGCCAGAGACCGAUAGCGCACAAGUAGAGUGAUCGAAAGAUGAAAAGCACUUUGGAAAGAGAGUCAAAUAGCACGUGAAAUUGUUGAAAGGGAAGCGCUUGCAGCCAGACUUGCCCGCGGUUGUUCUCUUCCGCGGGCAGGCCAGCAUCAGUUUGGGCGAUCGGAUAAAGGCCUCUGUCACGUAUCUCCCUUCGGGGUGACCUUAUAGGGGAGGCGUAAUGCGAUCAGCCCGGACUGAGGUCCGCGCAUCUGCUAGGAUGCUGGCGUAAUGGCUGUAAGCGGCCCGUCUUGAAACACGGACCAAGGAGUCUAACAUCUAUGCGAGUGUUUGGGUGUCAAGCCCGAGCGCGUAAUGAAAGUGAACGGAGGUGGGAACCCUCUUGGGGGUGCACCAUCGACCGAUCCUGAAGUCUUCGGAUGGAUUUGAGUAAGAGCAUGGCUGUUGGGACCCGAAAGAUGGUGAACUAUGCUUGAAUAGGGUGAAGCCAGAGGAAACUCUGGUGGAGGCUCGCAGCGGUUCUGACGUGCAAAUCGAUCGUCAAAUUUGGGCAUAGGGGCGAAAGACUAAUCGA
rnacentral:rRNA from 1 species